CCCGUUUUUUAAUAAAGAAAUUUUACUUUGUUUAACCUUUUUUGGUAGGGGUGAGUAUGGGUCGGAUACCAUAUCAUUAACACUAUCGGUUUGGAUACAGUGGCGAACCCACAUGUAUUUAUUGUGGGUCACGUGACAACCUAUUAUUUAAAAAAAAAAAAAAAAUAAAAAAAAUUUAGCACAUUUUCACGGUUUUACUCCUUCACUCCUUCCUCUCUCUCAGUCUCUCUCCUCCCAGAGUCCCAGUACACGGCUUCCUCUCUCUCUCCUCUAUUGAAGCGUACUCGAAAUUCUCCAUUGAAGGGGCUUCUGAGCUUUCUCUCCUCCACGGAUCCACUGAAGCAGUCUCAAAGGGUUUGGUUUGUGGAGCGUACUCGAAAUUCUCCAUUGAAGCGGCUUUUGAGUUAUGACUUUCUGAGCUUUCUCUCCUCGACUCCUCCAUUGAAGGCUUUGAAGUAGUCUAUAAGAAGUUUUGGUCCUAGAGGAACUGUUCUUAUCAAAAGGAUCCAAGAAGAGGACUUGCAAUGGAGAAAUUCUCACCCUUGUUAGCCUAAGAGGGGUUUUCGAUUUUUCGGAUAAAUUUGCUCAGCUCUCGGACCUCUCAAAUUUUUGUAAACGGCAAUUUACUCGGCCGUCUGUAUUCAGUUAACCAGUUGUUCACAAAUCACCCGUAUGCAGUUAGGCAAAUUGAGGUUCACAAAAUAUAAAUUAGAGUAGUAAGCGACCCCAUGAAAAGUAUGGAACGACCGUCGGAGCAGUAGGCGACCCCAUUGGAGUAUUAGGCGAUCUGCUGGCGGGGCAGUUAGGCGGCCAUUGAAAAUUCGAGCAAUUUCUCUUGAUUAAUCCUUCAUCAAAUUCGAGCUGAUCACAUUCAACAAAAUCAACAUAUUCAUUUCCUUUAUCCAUUCGUCAGAUCAUGAGUACAAAGGAGGAGCCACCAGCAUCAUUGCCUAAACUUAUGACACUUAACAGGGGUUUUAAAUUGGCUGAGCAGUGGGUUAAAAAUAUGCCUGGAGAUGAGGAGGCAGAGGAGACGGAAGUGGAAGCCAGACCUGCUAGGCUUGGUCUAGGGGCAAAAGUUCCUCGUAAAUCCCAAGUUGAACCUAUAUAUGACCCUGUUGAGAGGAGAUUACAUAAGAAGUUUGGUGCAGGGAGAAAGAAACCUGCUGGUGAUGAGGAUUCUAUUCCACCUCCGAAUAAUGAAGAAGAUAAUGGUGAUGAAGAUGACGAUGAAAAUUUAGACAGUAGAACUAAUUCUUUUGCAAAAAAGAGACCUGCUUUUCCACCCACAACACCACAAUCAAAGAAGAAACAUAAGUAACAAGUGAUAUAAGGAGAUCGACAGAUCGUAUGAAUGCUGAAGAGAAGUUUUUUUUUGCUGGGAUUCCGUAUUUCAGCUAGAACUUUAGAUUGAGUAUUACAUGUAUGAGUUGGUGGAGUUCUGUUAUUAGGAGAUACGUGGGGACUGAGAAAUCGUCUGAUAGUAAUGGCAAUUGGGGCUGUUGUAAUUGUUGGGUUUGCAUUCCCUUUAUCUCCAUCGACUGCGAAGCAAAAGGGCAGUUGGUGCAUUACCAGGAGUCCAGGACUAGUUUUGUUGAAAUUUAUGUCUUUGAUAUUAUAAUUUAGGGUAAACGUUGUGUAUUAUAUAUGUACGCAUUGUACUGUCUAUGGUGACCAUGGAUACCUUAGAGGCUGGUGUAAACUAAUUGUCUUUUGUUUCUUGGAAUUGCGUAAUUGAAUCGUGAACAUUAUUUUAGUCUAGUUUUAGUAAAUAUAUUGAGUUCUAUUACUGCAGAUCAUGCCCAGAUUGAUGACACUUAAUAGGGGUUUUAAAUUGGCUUGGUCUAGGGGCAAAAGUUACUCGUAAAUCCCAAGUUGGACCUAUACUUGACCCUGUUGAGAGGAGGUUACAUAAGAAGUUUGGUGCAGGGAGAAAGAAACCUGCUGGCGACGAGGAUUUCAUUCCACCUCCAAAGAAUGAGAUAGAUACUGGUGAUGAAGAUGACGACGAAAAUUUAGAUAGUAGAACUAAUUCUUUUGCCAAAAAGAGACCUGCUCUUCCACCCACAACACCAUAGUCAAAGAAGAAACAUAAGUAACAAAGUGAUACAAGGUGUAUCCUUAUUUUUUGCCCUGUAGUCUUCCUGAUGUAUUUUUAUGAUAAUCCUUGCUUUAAUGCUAACUCUUUCGACAACUUCCAUGA